rnacentral:rRNA from 1 species
AUUGAACGCUGGCGGCAUGCUUUACACAUGCAAGUCGAACGGCAGCGCGGGCUUCGGCCUGGCGGCGAGUGGCGCACGGGUGAGUAAUGCAUCGGAACGUGCCCAGUAGUGGGGGAUAGCACGGCCAAAGCCGGAUUAAUACCGCAUACUACCUGAGGGUGAAAGCGGGGGACCGAAAGGCCUCGCGCUAUUGUAGCGGCCGAUGUCGGGUUAGCUAGUUGGUGGGGUAAAGACUUACCAAGGCGACGAUCCGUAGCUGGUCUGAGUGGACGACCGGCCACAUUGGGACUUAGCCACGGACCAGACUCCUACGGGACGGAGCAGUGUGGAAUGUUGGACAGUGGGGGCAAACCUGGUCCAACCAUGCCGCGUGCGGGGAGAAGGCCCUGGGGGUGUAAACCGGUUUUGUUGGGGGAGAAACCCUCUGGGCUAAUACCCCGGGGGGAUGACGGUACCGGAAGAAGAAGCACCGGCUAACUACGUG